rnacentral:sRNA from 1 species
UAGUAUAACAGUAUGGUAUCUAAAAAUU